rnacentral:rRNA from 1 species
UACGUAGGGGGCAAGCGUUGUCCGGAAUUAUUGGGCGUAAAGAGCUCGUAGGCGGUUUGUCGCGUCUGCCGUGAAAGUCCGGGGCUCAACUCCGGAUCUGCGGUGGGUACGGGCAGACUAGAGUGAUGUAGGGGAGACUGGAAUUCCUGGUGUAGCGGUGAAAUGCGCAGAUAUCAGGAGGAACACCGAUGGCGAAGGCAGGUCUCUGGGCCGAUACUGACGCUGAGGAGCGAAAGCGUGGGGAGCGAACAGG